rnacentral:rRNA from 1 species
GACGAACGCUGGCGGCGUGCUUAACACAUGCAAGUCGAGCGGUAAGGCCCUUUCGGGGGUACACGAGCGGCGAACGGGUGAGUAACACGUGGGUGACCUGCCCUCAGCUCUGGGAUAAGCCUGGGAAACCGGGUCUAAUACUGGAUAUGACUCCAUGACGCAUGUUGUGGGGUGGAAAGCCUUGUGCGGCUGAGGAUGGGCCCGCGGCCUAUCAGCUUGUUGGUGGGGUGANGGCCUACCAAGGCGACGACGGGUAGCCGGCCUGAG